ensembl:snRNA U6 U6 spliceosomal RNA
GUGCUCGCUUCAGCAGCACAUAUACUAAAAUUGGAACAAUACAGAGAUUAGCAUGGCCCCUGCACAAGGAUGACACGCAAGUUAAUGAUGUGUUCCCUAUUCCU